UGCGAUGCCUUCGCCUGUGGUGCCUGCGGUGGCUGCCAGGAGAAUGCCCUCACCUGCAUGGGCUGAUGAGGUGGCAGGGACGAAGUGGGCCGAUUUUGGAGAAGCUAACUGGGAGUUGUCUAUGGACGACUACUUGACUGAAGAUGUGGGCAUGUUCAACGCUCAUAUGGGACUGUCGGCUAGCUGGGCUAGGUUUUGACAGAUGGUGGCAGUGUCGACAAAGUCGGUAGAAGAGAUGACCCAAGCAAAGACUGCGAUGGCGACUUCGCUAGACCCGUGAGCGUGAUUCUACGCUGCUAUUGACUAGGGCAGAGAGGUCGCUAGCACGUCUACGGUUGAGGGUGUGGCGGCAACUAACAUGUGGCAACUUCGCUACAUGAGUUUUUUUACCGAGGUCUAUGCAAUGGUAGGCUGCUAUCUUCACUGAUCAAAUGCAUCUAGGGCGCUGGUGGAUGUUGCGACCUCCCAACUGUGUUCUGAGAAGAAAUGGCAGGAGGACAAGAUAGAACGCCUUUGGAUGCAGAAUAUUGAAGCCAUUAAGGACAAGUCUGUGGCCGAGAACAAGAGUCAGAACCUGUUGGAGAAGGUUGACUCACUUGAGAAAGAGAAUGAGGGGCUCGAUCGCCAGCUAAGUGAGGAGAAAGAUACCGCUUACCACAACAGGGUGGAUGUUAUCACUCGGGUUGGCGUGGACAAGGCACAUACACUUUUUGUUGAUACAUAUCAUGAUCUAGGCAUGGAGACAACCCCCUUCUACAAGUCGGGGGGAGGUGGGGACCCGCUUCCUCGUCUGGAUGCAAGAGGAGUUGGAGUCCCUCCUGUCUAUUGCGACGACCUCAUGUCUUAUGCCUCCCUCGUUACCUGUGAA
rnacentral:lncRNA from 7 species